rnacentral:tRNA from 1 species
UCAGAAGUAGUUUAAUUAAAAUAUUAAUUUUGGAAAUUAAUGAUAAAAUAUUUUUUUUUCUGAA